CUAAUGAAUAAUUACCAGCAGCUGCCAUCGUUACAGCAACAUCACAGUCCAUUUGGAGUCAUUCGGCUAAAACUGAUAAAAACCUGAUAUUGAAUUUCACAUAAGAUGCUAGAAGGUCGCUAGACAUGUUAUGUAAAUAUUUUAUUCAAAUUUGAUUAUGAUGAGAUAACAGUGGACUUAUGGGAAUGAUGGACAGAUAACUUCUCUAUAAACAUCUCAACACACACUAUCUUGUUCAGUCAGUCGCGUCGGGUGAGAUUCACUGUUUGUCAGAUUAUAUAUACGGGAAAUAUCGGACUUCCAAAACUAUCAAUGGAUUCCUCUCUUCAUAAAGGUUUCAAAAGAGGACUAACUAUCAUCUUUGUAAU